rnacentral:tRNA from 1 species
GUCCCCAUGGCGCAAUUGGAUAGCGCGUCGGUUUCCGGAGCCGAAGGUUCCAGGUUCGAGCCCUGGUGGGGACG